GCUCUAUCCACGUACUGCUGGCAGGGGCCUCACCAAGCCCCUUCCCAUGCCCUCAAAGAUUUGGAAGUCUUCCCGAAGGAAAGAAGGAGGAAAACCCUCAUGUGAAAGAGGGACCGGGGAAGAGCGUGUCCUCUGGCUGCAAAAUAUUAGUGCUCAGACUAUCAGGGUGCAGUCAUGCUCUGCUACCAAUGUACUGCAUGAUCUUCAACAAGUCAUUCCAUUUUGGAAAAACUGCAUAAAAUUGCCACCAGGAUGUGAGCUCCUCCUCAAAAUCAGAUCCAUAUAGAGGUGAUGUGUCCAGGACCACUGAUCUCCCGACCCAUACUCCUUGAGGGGCCUCUCUGAAGCAUGGAUGUGUGGCAGUGACCCUAUGGAGGUGCUUAACCUCAGUCCUUACACCCAAAAUGGAGGAGACCCUCUGGAUCAGGUCAACCUUUUAUCUCCAGUUUUCAGAGACUUUGUUAGAGGACAGGUGUUUCUAAUGGUAUUUCUCAAGGCACAGCAAGCAAGACACAUAUUCCAAAGACACAAAAGAGUUGUUCAAGCUGUGCCAUCUUUUACCUUGAACAGGAAUGUUCACAGUGAUGCUCUGAAAUAAAUUCCACUCUGAGUGAUUAUUUCCUUAAAAGUGAGGAAUAAGCAAUAUUUUUUUUUCUUUUUCAAAACACUGGAGGCCAAAGGGAUAAGGUAGAACUUUUCUUGCACUGAAGUUGAUUUUAUUAGUUCUCAAGUAAGCAACUAGUUCAGAAAGUAAAGAAGAAAAUUGAUGAUCCACAUCUUUCAAAGGCACACCACGGUUCUCGGCGUUGC